rnacentral:rRNA from 1 species
UACGGGGGGGGCAAGCGUUGUUCGGAAUUACUGGGCGUAAAGGGCUCGUAGGCGGCCAACUAAGUCGGAUGUGAAAUCCCCAGGCUUAACCUGGGAACUGCAUCCGAUACUGGAUGGCUUGAAUCCGGGAGAGGGAUGCGGAAUUCCAGGUGUAGCGGUGAAAUGCGUAGAUAUCUGGAGGAACACCGGUGGUGAAGGCGGCAUCCUGGACCGGCAUUGACGCUGAGGAGCGAAAGCCAGGGGAGCAAACGGG